UACGGAGGGUGCGAGCGUUGUCCGGAAUCACUGGGCGUAAAGGGCGCGUAGGCGGCGCGAGCAGUCGGCGGUGAAAGCCCGGAGCUCAACUCCGGGUCGGCCGUCGAUACUCUCGUGCUUGAGCACUGUAGAGGCAGGUGGAAUUCCGGGUGUAGCGGUGGAAUGCGUAGAGAUCCGGAAGAACACCGGUGGCGAAGGCAAUCCCCUGGACCUGUACUGACGCUCAUGCACGAAAGCGUGGGGAGCAAACAGG
rnacentral:rRNA from 1 species